GCGGGCUGUGAGGACUGAGGUCUGUAGCGAAGGUCCAGCCCCGUGGUCUUCGCUUCGUUCGGCAACGAACGCCCAGCGAAGGGACAUCCCUGUAGAAGUUCUGCUGCGUGUGGUCCAGCCGUCCCCACUCCUCCCGGGAGAGGUACAAGGCCACAUCCUCGAAAGUCACUGGCAUCUGAAACAAUGUGAAACAUCCACUCUCCAGGACAUGACGUGGACACGGUGGAGGGACACCAUGGCAUGAGAUGUGUGGUGAGACCCCGGACUCCCAACCCACUGUGUCGAGUGAGGCCUGCCACUUCCAUCUGAUCGGGAAGCAGGUGAGCCACCCAAGGCCUUCUGGGGAGUUGAGAAAGAACAAAGACCAAGAGGUAUUUUCAGGGAUCACAGUUAAGACUUAGGAUGUCCAUGCAGCCCCCAGCCUCAGCUGAGACCUCGGAGGACGGUUCCCAACGGCUACCAGCGAGAGGCCCUGUGUCUCUAAUUCCUGCUGCUUCUCCUCCAGCUUUGGCCCAGGCCUGACCAUGGGCCUUGAGCCUGGACAAUUCCAGCAACACUAGCAAGAGCCCCAGGCUUCAGGCUUGGCUGCAAGUGGGGCCAGCGGGGUCCUGGCUUUCACACAGAACCAGCAGAUGCAGGAAGGGCUGAGUACCAUGCAGGGGCCGGGGAAGGGCCACUCACCUGGGACCAGGCAGUGAGGAGCGCUGCAGCCAUCUGCCGGUCUCUGGUCCUCCCCUCUCGGGAAAGCACGGGGAUCCGGGGGGAGGGGAGGGCUGUG
rnacentral:lncRNA from 1 species